GGAAUAUUGCACAAUGGAGGAAACUCUGAUGCAGUGACGCCGCGUAUAGGAAGAAGGUUUUCGGAUUGUAAACUAUUUUAGACAGGGAAGAAAAAAGACGGUACCUGUAGAAUAAGCCCCGGCUAACUAUGUGCCAGCAGCCGCGGUAAUACAUAGGGGGCAAGCGUUAUCCGGAAUUAUUGGGCGUAAAGGGUGCGUAGACGGGAGAAUAAGUUAGUUGUGAAAUCCCUCGGCUUAACUGAGGAACUGCAACUAAAACUGUUUUUCUUGAGUGUAGGAGAGGAAAGUGGAAUUCCUAGUGUAGCGGUGAAAUGCGUAGAUAUUAGGAGGAACACCAGUGGCGAAGGCGACUUUCUGGACUAUAACUGACGUUGAUGCACGAAAGUGUGGGGAGCAAACA
rnacentral:rRNA from 1 species